AGCGGGAGUGGCGAACGGGUGAGUAAUACAUAAGCAAUCUGCCCAUCGGCCUGGGAUAACAGUUGGAAACGACUGCUAAUACCGGAUAGGUGAUGAAGAGGCAUCUCUUGAUCAUUAAAGUUGGGAUACAACACGGAUGGAUGAGCUUAUGGCGCAUUAGCUAGUUGGUGAGGUAACGGCCCACCUAGGCGAUGAUGCGUAGCCGACCUGAGAGGGUGACCGGCCACAUUGGGACUGAGACACGGCCCAAACUCCUACGGGAGGCAGCAGUAGGGAAUUUUCGGCAAUGGGCGAAAGCCUGACCGAGCAACGCCGCGUGAGUGAAGAAGGCCUUCGGGUUGUAAAGCUCUGUUGUGAAGGAAGAACGGCUCAUACAGGGAAUGGUAUGGGAGUGACGGUACUUUACCAGAAAGCCACGGCUAACUACGUGCCAGCAGCCGCGGUAAUACGUAGGUGGCGAGCGUUAUCCGGAAUUAUUGGGCGUAAAGGGUGCGCAGGCGGUUUUUUAAGUUUAAGGUGAAAGCGUGGGGCUUAACCCCAUAUAGCCUUAGAAACUGAGAGACUAGAGUACAGGAGAGGGCAAUGGAAUUCCAUGUGUAGCGGUAAAAUGCGUAGAUAUAUGGAGGAACACCAGUGGCGAAGGCGGUUGCCUGGCCUGUAACUGACGCUCAUGCACGAAAGCGUGGGGAGCAAAUAGGAUUAGAUACCCUAGUAGUCCACGCCGUAAACGAUGAGUACUAAGUGUUGGGGAAACUCAGUGCUGCAGUUAACGCAAUAAGUUCUCCGCCUGGGGAGUAUGCACGCAAGUGUGAAACUCAAAGGAAUUGACGGGGGCCCGCACAAGCGGUG
rnacentral:rRNA from 1 species